rnacentral:misc_RNA from 1 species
UAAUUUAAAGAAAACAAUUGAGCAUUAAGAAAUAGGAGCGUAGCAGCGCAGCAAUAUUUCAGACAGUUUUGAUGAUGUACGCGACACUUGUUUUUCAAUCGCAUCCCUGUUUCCCCAGGCAGAAAAACAUUUUAGUUAUGUGAUGAUAGAUAAAAGGACGAGAUAAUAGAACCGACGAAAACACAUUGCUAAAUUAUGCUCCCUCGUAAAAUUCGUGUGUGGUACUACAUCAGUCUCGCGGUACAAUUAUCAAAAUAAACAUGUAAUCAUAACCUAUGUCCUAUGACAUCCGAGGCAUGAUAAGAGAAAUCUCGAUCGUUUCACAAUAACGGAAUUCAUAAUAAUAUACAAAACUGUCAUGAUAUGGCCUUAGUCACGACUAUUUACGCCUCGGCGUAAAUCAGCCGUUCAAAAGCACGUGCAAGUAUUAUCGGGGACGGAUGUAUGAAAUGCGAGGGCAGAAAUGAGCAAUCUGAAAAAGUGCAAAGCCUUCCAAUGCGGCCGAGAUCCCGGACCUGCACACGCGCAUCGUGUGAUGCCUGUGUCGCAGCCAGUACGUGCCAAGAGUUUGUUACGCGCAAACUUGGAAAACUCACGCGCGCGAGUCUUACAGAGCAGAAUGCCCAACAUCAAGGUCUUCAGCGGGACCUCGCAUCCGGAUCUCGCCCAGCGGAUCGUCGACCGCCUCGGCAUCGACAUCGGCAAGGUUGUCACCAAGAAAUUCAGCAACCUCGAGACAUGCGUGGAGAUAGGAGAAUCUGUUCGUGGGGAAGAUGUCUACAUCGUGCAAAGUGGAAGCGGCGAGGUGAACGAUAAUCUUAUGGAACUUCUCAUCAUGAUCAACGCUUGUAAAAUUGCUUCUGCAUCCCGAGUAACAGCGGUGAUACCUUGCUUUCCUUAUGCGAGGCAGGAUAAAAAAGACAAGGGCGGUGAUGGAGACUCUAAAAAUCAGAUUGUCAUGAAGUCGAACGAGUGGAAAUUCAGGGAUAUUCCGCCUGACCUGUCUACAAGCCGUGCGCCAAUCUCCGCUAAACUAGUAGCAAAUAUGCUUUCCGUGGCGGGUGCUGAUCACAUUAUCACAAUGGACUUGCAUGCUAGUCAAAUACAAGGAUUUUUCGACAUCCCAGUAGACAACUUAUUCGCCGAACCUGCUGUCCUCAAAUGGAUUAAAGAGAAUAUCGUUGAGUGGCGAAAUAGUAUCAUUGUCUCCCCUGACGCUGGUGGUGCCAAAAGAGUCACAUCUAUCGCAGACCGAUUAAAUGUCGAAUUUGCGCUCAUACAUAAAGAAAGGAAGAAAGCGAAUGAAGUCGCCAGUAUGGUAUUGCAGAAAAACUGUUGGAAGCUGGUGCUACGAAAGUUUAUGCGAUACUUACACAUGGCAUCUUCAGUGGGCCAGCAAUUAGUAGAAUUAACAAUGCUUGCUUCGAGGCUGUGGUAGUGACUAAUACUAUCCCUCAAGAUGGUCACAUGAAAGAUUGCCCAAAGAUUCAGUGUAUUGAUGUCUCGAUGAUGUUUGCCGAAGCAGUGAGGCGGACACAUAAUGGUGAAUCUGUAUCGUACCUAUUUUCAAACG